rnacentral:rRNA from 1 species
UUUAAUGGCCGCGGUAUUUUGACCGUGCAAAGGUAGCAUAAUCAUUAGCUUAUUGAUUGUAANAUUGUAUGAAUGGUUGGACGAAAUAUUGACUGUCUCAUAUUAAUCAUUUAAAAUUUAAUUUUUGAGUUAAAAAGCUUAAAUUUUUUUAAAGGACGANAANACCCUAUANAUCUUUAUUUUCAUUAUUUUAUUAAUUUUGUAUUUAUUUAUUUAUUGAAUUUUUGGUUGGGGUGAUCUUGANAAAUAAUUAACUCUUUGUUUUUUUUUUCAUUUAUUUUUGUAAAAUUG